CCUACGGGAGGCAGCAGUAAGGAAUAUUGGACAAUGCCCGCAAGAGUGAUCCAGCCAUGCCGCGUGCAGGAAGAAUGCCCUAUGGGUAGUAAACUGCUUUUGAACUAGAGAAAACCCCAGUACGUGUACUGGGCUGAUAGUAUAGUUAGAAUAAGCAUCGGCUAACUUCGUGCCAGCAGCCGCGGUAAGACGAAGGAUGCAAGCGUUAUCCGGAUUCAUUGGGUUUAAAGGGAGCGUAGGUGGACUUAUAAGUCAGUGGUGAAAUCUCCGAGCUUAACUCGGAAAUUGCCAUUGAUACUGUAGGUCUUGAGUACAGUUGCUGUGGGCGGAAUAUGACAUGUAGUGGUGAAAUACAUAGAGAUGUCAUAGAACACCGAUUGCGAAGGCAGCUCACAAAGCUGUAACUGACACUGAGGCUCGAAAGUGCGGGGAUCAAACAGGAUUAGAUACCCUGGUAGUCCGCACCGUAAACGAUGAUUACUCGCUGCUAGGGGGCAACCUUUAGUGGCUUAGCGAAAGCGAUAAGUAAUCCACCUGGGGAGUACGCCGGCAACGGUUGAAACUCAAAGUGAAAGUUGACGGCGNGAGACGAGCGACGGACGACGACGAGGGAGGAGG
rnacentral:rRNA from 1 species